rnacentral:rRNA from 1 species
UUUAUUGACGUGGCUAUCUGGAGUAGACGCUGAGGUUUGGUGUUUACACUAGACUGAUGAGUUGCGAACGGGUGAGUAACGCGUAGGUAACCUGCCUCAUAGCGGGGGAUAACUAUUGGAAACGAUAGCUAAUACCGCAUAAGAGUAAUUAACACAUGUUAGUUAUUUAAAAGGAGCAAUUGCUUCACUGUGAGAUGGACCUGCGUUGUAUUAGCUAGUUGGUGAGGUAAAGGCUCACCAAGGCGACGAUACAAAGCCGACCUGAGAGGGUGAUCGGCCACACUGGGACUGAGACACGGCCCAGACUCCUACGGGAGGCAGCAGUAGGGAAUCUUCGGCAAUGGACGGAAGUCUGACCGAGCAACGCCGCGUGAGUGAAGAAGGUUUUCGGAUCGUAAAGCUCUGUUGUUAGAGAAGAACGUUGGUAGGAGUGGAAAAUCUACCAAGUGACGGUAACUAACCAGAAAGGGACGGCUAACUACGUGCCAGCAGCCGCGGUAAUACGUAGGUCCCGAGCGUUGUCCGGAUUUAUUGGGCGUAAAGCGAGCGCAGGCGGUUCUUUAAGUCUGAAGUUAAAGGCAGUGGCUUAACCAUUGUACGCUUUGGAAACUGGAGGACUUGAGUGCAGAAGGGGAGAGUGGAAUUCCAUGUGUAGCGGUGAAAUGCGUAGAUAUAUGGAGGAACACCGGUGGCGAAAGCGGCUCUCUGGUCUGUAACUGACGCUGAAGCUCGAAAGCGUGNGGAGCAAACAGGAUUAGAUACCCUGGUAGUCCACGCCGUAAACGAUGAGUGCUAGGUGUUAGGCCCUUUCCGGGGGCUUAGUGCCGCAGCUAACGCAUUAAGCACUCCGCC